GCACCGAUAGUCAAGUGGUCACGACACCGCUUUCCCAAAUAGGCUACUUUUCUCUUCACGAGGGAACCUGUGUUCAAGCGGCAGCCCGGGUUCGAACCCCGGUCGGUGCA
rnacentral:tRNA from 2 species